CUGCAGUGAUGACCAGCUUAGGACACCUUUGGAUUCAUCAUGAAAACAUCUCAAGUGUCUGAGCAGU